GCGCUGGGAAUGGGGCUCAGUGGUUGAGUGCUUGCCUGACAUGCAUGAGGCCCUGGGUUCAGUUCCCAGCAACGCA
rnacentral:tRNA from 1 species